rnacentral:rRNA from 1 species
UGUGAAAAACUCCGGUGGUAUGAGAUGGACCCGCGUCUGAUUAGGUGGUUGGUGGGGUAACGGCCUACCAAGCCGACGAUCAGUAGCCGACCUGAGAGGGUGACCGGCCACAUUGGGACUGAGACACGGCCCAAACUCCUACGGGAGGCAGCAGUGGGGAAUAUUGCACAAUGGGGGAAACCCUGAUGCAGCGACGCCGCGUGAGCGAUGAAGUAUUUCGGUAUGUAAAGCUCUAUCAGCAGGGAAGAAAAUGACGGUACCUGACUAAGAAGCCCCGGCUAACUACGUGCCAGCAGCCGCGGUAAUACGUAGGGGGCAAGCGUUAUCCGGAUUUACUGGGUGUAAAGGGAGCGUAGACGGCAUGGCAAGCCAGAUGUGAAAGCCCGGGGCUCAACCCCGGGAGCUGCAUUUGGAACUGUCAGGCUAGAGUGUCGGAGAGGAAAGCGGAAUUCCUAGUGUAGCGGUGAAAUGCGUAGAUAUUAGGAGGAACACCAGUGGCGAAGGCGGCUUUCU